UACGUAGGUGGCAAGCGUUGUCCGGAUUUACUGGGCGUAAAGAGCGCGCAGGCGGUCGUUCAAGUCGCGUGUGAAAGCCCCCCGGCUCAACUGGGGAGGGUCACGCGAUACUGAUCGACUCGAAGGCAGGAGAGGGAAGUGGAAUUCCCGGUGUAGUGGUGAAAUGCGUAGAUAUCGGGAGGAACACCAGUGGCGAAGGCGACUUCCUGGCCUGUUCUUGACGCUGAGGCGCGAAAAGCUAGGGGGAGCAAAACGGG
rnacentral:rRNA from 1 species